AAUGAACGCUGGCGGCAUGCCUAACACAUGCAAGUCGAACGAGACCUUCGGGUCUAGUGGCGCACGGGUGCGUAACGCGUGGGAAUCUGCCCUUGGGUUCGGAAUAACUCGCCGAAAGGCGUGCUAAUACCGGAUGAUGACGUAAGUCCAAAGAUUUAUCGCCCAAGGAUGAGCCCGCGUAGGAUUAGCUAGUUGGUGGGGUAAAGGCCCACCAAGGCGACGAUCCUUAGCUGGUCUGAGAGGAUGAUCAGCCACACUGGGACUGAGACACGGGCCAGACUCCUACGGGAGGCAGCAGUGGGGAAUAUUGGACAAUGGGCGAAAGCCUGAUCCAGCAAUGCCGCGUGAGUGAUGAAGGCCUUAGGGUUGGAAAGCUCUUUUACCCGGGAUGAUAAUGACAGUACCGGGAGAAUAAGCCCCGGCUAACUCCGUGCCAGCCGCCGCCGUAAGAC
rnacentral:rRNA from 1 species